CUGCUUUUACCACCAUUAUCUCUGUACGUUUUCUCCAUCUCUUCUCUUGGAGCAUACAAAGGUCUAAAUGUGUCUGUUGGAUGAGCUUUUUUUUUUUGACAUUCUUAGAUCAAUUAGUAAAUAAAGUUCUUGCCUGGAUGGGAUUUACUAGCAAUUUUAUCUGAAAAAAAUUGUAAAUCUGCAUGUGGUUAACUGUGCACCACCAUCCUUUAAUAGGUGAAUUCUCCAGUGUUGAUGGAAUGUGAGGGAGAAGAUGAAAAGCAACUCUCGAGUGUAUGACUAUAUGAAAUUUUUAUGCCCUCUAUUUAUGCCCUCUAU